rnacentral:rRNA from 1 species
GACGAACGCUGGCGGCGUGCUUAACACAUGCAAGUCGAACGGAAAGGCCCUGCUUGCAGGGUACUCGAGUGGCGAACGGGUGAGUAACACGUGGGUGAUCUGCCCUGCACUUCUGGAUAAGCCUGGGAAACUGGGUCUAAUACCGGAUAGGAGCCAUUUUUAGUGUGAUGGUUGGAAAGUUUUUUCGGUGUAGGAUGAGCUCGCGGCCGAUCAGCUUGUUGGUGGGGUAAUGGCCUACCAAGGCGGCGACGGGUAGCCGGCCUGAGAGGGUGGACGGCCACAUUGGGACUGGGAUACGGCCCAGACUCCUACGGGAGGCAGCAGUGGGGAAUAUUGCACAAUGGGCGCAAGCCUGAUGCAGCGACGCCGCGUGGGGGAGGACGGCCUUCGGGUUGUAAACUCCUUUCGCUAGGGACGAAGCUUUUUGUGACGGUACCUAGAUAAGAAGCACCGGCUAACUACGUG